UACAGAGGGGGCGAGCGUUGUUCGGAAUUACUGGGCGUAAAGGGCGCGUAGGCGGCCCGCUAAGUCGAACGUGAAAUCCCCAGGCUCAACCUGGGAACUGCGUCCGAUACUGGCAGGCUUGAAUCCGGGAGAGGGAUGUGGAAUUCCAGGUGUAGCGGUGAAAUGCGCAGAUAUCAGGAAGAACACCCGUGGCGAAGGCGGCUCUCUGGGACGGUACUGACGCUGAGACGCGAAAGCGUGGGGAGCGAACAGG
rnacentral:rRNA from 1 species